rnacentral:pre_miRNA from 1 species
AUCUUUUAGCAUUUUCCAAGCAAAUUGAAUUUGUAUCUUUGGGAUCAUCAGGACAGCCCCUGCAUCGAGAAUUAUGCAGAACUCUACUGAAAUGAAACGGGGAAAAAAAAAUUAUUUCAACCUUUGCCACAACUGACGCAGGGGCUGCCCCGAUAAUUCCAAAGAUCCAGUGCAAUCUGCUUGUUAAAUUGCUACUGGAU